GCCGGAGUAGCUCAGUGGCAGAGCAACUCUUUCGUAAAGAGUAGGCCGCGAGUUCGAAUCUCGCCUCCGGCU
rnacentral:tRNA from 1 species